UCACCAAUCCCUUCUGCAGGCCUGUCAUGACUGUGUACAUUGUAGGACAUUGUGUGCACAAUAACAAGAUGCUGCACGCAGUCAGGGCGCAGUGCUGCACAGGCUCGGAGAAGACCAGGGAGCGUGACUGCAGGAGAGAUCACCGGACCUGAAGAGAAGCAGCAAAGUAAGAGAGGUAUAUGGCCUUACAUAGAAUGGCUAUUUAUGGUAGA